ACGGAAGGCAGCAGUGAGGAAUAUUGGUCAAUGGAGGCAACUCUGAACCAGCCAAGUCGCGUGAAGGAAGAAGGCCCUACGGGUCGUAAACUUCUUUUGCAGGGGGAUAAAGUCGGCCACGCGUGGCCGUUUGCAAGUACCCUGUGAAUAAGCAUCGGCUAACUCCGUGCCAGCAGCCGCGGUAAUACGGAGGAUGCGAGCGUUAUCCGGAUUUAUUGGGUUUAAAGGGUGCGCAGGCGGGCUGUUAAGUCAGCGGUGAAAUCUCCGGGCUCAACUCGGAAACUGCCGUUGAUACUGGCGGUCUUGAUUCAUGUCGAGGAUGGCGGAAUGCAGCGUGUAGCGGUGAAAUGCUUAGAUAUGCUGCAGAACUCCGAUUGCGAAGGCAGCUGUCCAGAGAUGUACUGACGCUGAGGCACGAAAGCAUGGGUAUCAAACAGGAUUAGAUACCCUGGUA
rnacentral:rRNA from 1 species